rnacentral:tRNA from 1 species
GAGGGUAUAGCUCAGUGGUAAAGUGCAUGCUUAGCAUGCAUGAGGUCGUGAAUUCAAUCUCCAGUACCUCUA